CGGUAACAGGAAGAAGCUUGCUUCUUUGCUGACGAGUGGCGGACGGGUGAGUAAUGUCUGGGAAACUGCCUGAUGGAGGGGGAUAACUACUGGAAACGGUAGCUAAUACCGCAUAACGUCGCAAGACCAAAAAGGGGGACCUUCGGGCCUCUUGCCAUCGGAUGUGCCCAGAUGGGAUUAGCUAGUAGGUGGGGUAACGGCUCACCUAGGCGACGAUCCCUAGCUGGUCUGAGAGGAUGACCAGCCACACUGGAACUGAGACACGGUCCAGACUCCUACGGGAGGCAGCAGUGGGGAAUAUUGCACAAUGGGCGCAAGCCUGAUGCAGCCAUGCCGCGUGUAUGAAGAAGGCCUUCGGGUUGUAAAGUACUUUCAGCGGGGAGGAAGGGAGCAAAGUUAAUACCUUUGCUCAUUGACGUUACCCGCAGAAGAAGCACCGGCUAACUCCGUGCCAGCAGCCGCGGUAAUACGGAGGGUGCAAGCGUUAAUCGGAAUUACUGGGCGUAAAGCGCACGCAGGGCGGUUUGUUAAGUCAGAUGUGAAAUCCCCGGGCUCAACCUGGGAACUGCAUCUGAUACUGGCAAGCUUGAGUCUCGUAGAGGGGGGUAGAAUUCCAGGUGUAGCGGUGAAAUGCGUAGAGAUCUGGAGGAUACCGGUGGCGAAGCGGCCCCUGGACGAAGA
rnacentral:rRNA from 1 species